rnacentral:rRNA from 1 species
GUUGAACGCUGGCGGCGUGCCUUACACAUGCAAGUCGAACGACCAGACGAGUAGUUUCCUCCUGUGACGUUAGCGGCGCAGGGGUGUGUUACAUGUGGAUAAGUUCUCUAUAGGGGUGUGGUCACUCCAGAACCGCGGUGCUAAUGCCUGAGAAUAUCUUGUGCAGCAUGGUUCCCUAGUGACCUCCCGUUUUGCGGUUAGUUGUUGAUGGAUCCGCGGCGGAUUAGCUAGUUGGUAAGGUAAAGGCUUACCAAGGCGACGAUGCGUAGCUGACCUGAGAGGAUGACCGGCCACACUGGAACUGAGACACGGCCCAGACUCCUACGGGAGGCAGCAGUAGGGAAUUUUGCACAAUGGGCGAAAGCCUGACGCAGCAACGCCGCGUGUGUGAAGAAGGCCUUCGGAUCGUAAAACACUGUUAUCAGGGAAGAACAAAUGGGUACGAAUACAGGCGCGUGAUGACGGUACCGGAAGAGAAAGCACCGGCUAACUACGUG